ACACUUCGAAAGGAACGCUAAUACCGCAUACGUCCUACGGGAGAAAGCAGGGGACCUUCGGGCCUUGCGCUAUCAGAUGAGCCUAGGUCGGAUUAGCUAGUUGGUGAGGUAAUGGCUCACCAAGGCGACGAUCCGUAACUGGUCUGAGAGGAUGAUCAGUCACACUGGAACUGAGACACGGUCCAGACUCCUACGGGAGGCAGCAGC
rnacentral:rRNA from 1 species